rnacentral:rRNA from 1 species
CCUACGGGAGGCAGCAGUAGGGAAUCUUCCACAAUGGGCGAAAGCCUGAUGGAGCAACGCCGCGUGGGUGAAGAAGGUCUUCGGAUCGUAAAACACUGUUGGUAGGGAAGAAAGCGCGUGAGAGUAACUGUUCACGUUUCGACGGUAUCUAACCAGAAAGCCACGGCUAACUCCGUGCCAGCAGCCGCGGUAAUACGUAGGUGGCAAGCGUUAUCCGGAUUUAUUGGGCGUAAAGGGAACGCAGGCGGUCUUUUAAGUCUGAUGUGAAAGCCCUCGGCUUAACCGGGGUAGUGCAUUGGAAACUGGGAGACUUGAGUGUAGAAGAGGGGAGUGGAACUCCAUGUGUAGCGGUGAAAUGCGUAGAGAUAUGGAAGAACACCAGUGGCGAAGGCGGCUCUCUGGUCAGUAACUGACGCUGAGGUUCGAAAGCGUGGGUAGCAAACAGGAUUAGAUACCCGAGUAGUC